AGAAUGUCUCUUUUGAAUUUCCAUAGCAACUGCUCCCGUGUCACCCUACUGCUCCCAAAGGUUUAAGCAGUUGCGUUACAAAUUUACAUAUAUCUGCAUGUCAUUAACAUAGAGGCGGAGCCGGAACUUGUUUGGGCAACUAUCCCUGCUGGACAGUUCUCCUCGCACUGCUUUCAUCCCGUCCGAUGGCCACCUGGACUGCGCAUGCCUCCGGCUCCUGCACGUGUGUGAACCUUCCCAAGUAUGCUCCAAAGAAGACAUUCCACCCUCAUUGCAAAGCUGCCCCCUGCUGGCUUCUCUGCCCAGAGUCAUCGGAUUAACCUACUUGUUUUGGCUGCUGUGGUGUGUCCCCAGUCGGCCCACCUUCCUGGUGGCAACAUGCCCAGGCCACAAACAGCCUGACCAGAGUCCUGAGCCAUGAACAUCUCUCCGGGUACCGCCUGAGCCAUGUGGGCUUAGGCCCCACCCAACUGUUCCUGGGCACAGUGCCAGGAUGGGGUGGGUCUGUGCAUCUCUGUGGCUUCUACACAAACAGAUGCAACAUGGGGGCGCCCCUGGCACAGAGAAAGGCACUUGUGGGAGAAGAGACUCGGGAAAACAUGUAACAUACUGCACACGUGUAGCAUCCCCGUGCCUAGGGACAUACAAUAUCGCAGCGAUUAACACCAGAAUAUGCAGUAAACAUGCCACGCUGCGGGGGUAUGUGUGUUGCUUCUACAUACUAGUUACCCAUAGCAGUCUACACACAUGUGGCACCUGUGAGCUUCUACACAUACAGUAUUCUUAAGGCACACGGAAAAAGCAGCAUGCAUUCAGGACCUGAGCGCAUGUCGAUGCAUAUGUGCAGCAUUUGCAUGCACCCAGCCAGG
ensembl:lncRNA